rnacentral:rRNA from 1 species
UACAGAGGUCUCAAGCGUUGUUCGGAUUCAUUGGGCGUAAAGGGUGUGUAGGUGGCGCGCUAAGUCGGGUGUGAAAUUUCGGAGCUUAACUCCGAAACUGCAUUCGAUACUGGCGUGCUUGAGGACUGGAGAGGAGACUGGAAUUCAUGGUGUAGCAGUGUAAUGCGUAGAGAUCAUGAGGAAGACCAGUGGCGAAGGCGGGUCUCUGGACAGUUCCUGACACUGAGACACGAAGGCUAGGGGAGCAAACGGG